rnacentral:rRNA from 1 species
CCUACGGGAGGCAGCAGUGGGGAAUAUUGGGCAAUGGGCGCAAGCCUGACCCAGCAACGCCGCGUGAAGGAAGAAGGCUUUCGGGUUGUAAACUUCUUUUCUCAGGGACGAAGCAAGUGACGGUACCGGAGGAAUAAGCCACGGCUAACUACGUGCCAGCAGCCGCGGUAAUACGUAGGUGGCAAGCGUUAUCCGGAUUUACUGGGUGUAAAGGGCGUGUAGGCGGGAAAGCAAGUCAGAUGUGAAAGCCAUGGGCUCAACCUGUGGACUGCAUUUGAAACUGUUUUUCUUGAGUACUGGAGAGGAAGACGGAAUUCCUAGUGUAGCGGUGAAAUGCGUAGAUAUUAGGAGGAACACCAGUGGCGAAGGCGGUCUGCUGGACAGCAACUGACGCUGAGGCGCGAAAGCGUGGGGAGCAAACAGGAUUAGAUACCCCUGUAGUC